GAUGAACGCUGGCGGCGUGCCUAAUACAUGCCAGUCGAGCGAACAGACGAGGAGCUUGCUCCUCUGACGUUAGCGGCGGACGGGUGAGUAACACGUGGAUAACCUACCUAUAAGACUGGGAUAACUUCGGGAAACCGGAGCUAAUACCGGAUAAUAUAUUGAACCGCAUGGUUCAAUAGUGAAAGACGGUUUUGCUGUCACUUAUAGAUGGAUCCGCGCCGCAUUAGCUAGUCGGUAAGGUAACGGCUUACCAAGGCAACGAUGCGUAGCCGACCUGAGAGGGUGAUCGGCCACACUGGAACUGAGACACGGUCCAGACUCCUACGGGAGGCAGCAGUAGGGAAUCUUCCGCAAUGGGCGAAAGCCUGACGGAGCAACGCCGCGUGAGUGAUGAAGGUCUUCGGAUCGUAAAACUCUGUUAUUAGGGAAGAACAAAUGUGUAAGUAACUAUGCACGUCUUGACGGUACCUAAUCAGAAAGCCACGGCUAACUACGUG
rnacentral:rRNA from 1 species